UGUGAAAUAUCCCUUUAGUGAUUGCUUUUAGUGAUAGAUUAAACAACCAAUAACUAGAACAGUCUAAUGUCACAUCAGCCAAUCAGUUUGCUUGUCCCGCCCCUUUAACUGCAGCGCUCAGAUUUAGCUCAGAUUGCGUCUAACAACUCGCUUGAGAGCUGACGGUUGUUCCGUGAAUCCCCUGUAAGAUUCUGUUAAAUUCUACGAAGAAUCCUGGAAAUUGAUCUCAGAAAGAAAGCUUCUGUUCUAACAGCUGACGUCCGGAAAAAAAUCCCCUUGUGUAGCAUUGAAGCAUCGGUCAGGUUUUUUCCUGACCUUGAAGCAUUGUGCCCUGUGACAGCUGACCCUACUGUCACACAGACCUGAAGGGUAACUGUUUGUUUUGUUCAUCCUUAAUAUUAAUUUAGACAUUAGUGAAUAGUUUAGAUUUUU